rnacentral:rRNA from 1 species
GGGGAACCAGGACUUUUACUUUGAAAAAAUUAGAGUGUUCAAAGCAGGCCUUUGCUCGAAUACAUUAGCAUGGAAUAAUGGAAUAGGACGGCGCUCCUAUUUUGUUGGUUUCUAGGAGAGCCGUAAUGAUUAAUAGGGACAGUUGGGGGCAUCCGUAUUCAGUUGUCAGAGGUGAAAUUCUUGGAUUUACUGAAGACGAACUACUGCGAAAGCAUUUGCCAAAAGAUGUUUUCAUUAAUCAGUGAACGAAAGUUAGGGGAUCGAAGACGAUCAGAUCCCGUCGUAGUCUUAACCAUAAACCAUGCCGACUAGGGAUCGGGCGAUGUUAGUUUAUUGACUCGCUCGGCACCUUUCGAGAAAUCAAAGUGUUUGGGUUCUGGGGGGAGUAUGGUCGCAAGGUUGAAACUUAAAGAAAUUUGACGGAAGGGCACCACCAGGAGUGGAGCCUGCGGYUUAAUUUGACCCAACACGGGGGAACUCACCAGGUCCAGAUACACGUAGGAUUGACAGAUUGAGAGCUCUUUCUUGAUUGUGUAGUUGGUGGUGCAUGGCCCGUUCUUAGUUGGUGGAGUGAUUUGUCUGCUUAAUUGCGAUAACGAACGAGACC